UCCCUGGUGGCUUAGAGGUUAAAGCAUCUGCCUCCAAUGCAGGAGACCCAGGUUCGAUCCCUGGGUUGGGAA
rnacentral:tRNA from 1 species